rnacentral:rRNA from 1 species
UGCAAGUCGAACGAGAAAGUGGAGCAAUCCAUGAGUAAAGUGGCGACCGGGUGAGUAACACGUGACUAACCUACCUCCGAGUGGGGAAUAACUCCGGGAAACCGGGGCUAAUACCGCAUAACAUCGCAAGAUCAAAGCAGCAAUGCGCUUGGAGAGGGGGUCGCGGCUGAUUAGCUAGUUGGCGGGGUAACGGCCCACCAAGGCGAAGAUCGGUAUCCGGCCUGAGAGGGCGCACGGACACACUGGAACUGAAACACGGUCCAGACUCCUACGGGAGGCAGCAGUGGGGAAUUUUGCGCAAUGGGGGAAACCCUGACGCAGCAACGCCGCGUGGAGGAUGAAGCCCUUUGGGGCGUAAACUCCUUUCGACUCGGAAGAUAAUGACGGUACGAGUGGAAGAAGCACCGGCUAACUCUGUGCCAGCAGCCGCGGUAAUACAGAGGGUGCGAGCGUUGUUCGGAAUUAUUGGGCGUAAAGGGCGCGUAGGCGGUGCGGUAAGUCACCUGUGAAAUCUCCCGGCUUAACUGGGAGCCUGCAGGCGAAACUAC